rnacentral:rRNA from 1 species
AUUGAACGCUGGCGGCAGGCCUAACACAUGCAAGUCGAGCGGAUGACGGGAGCUUGCUCCUGGAUUCAGCGGCGGACGGGUGAGUAAUGCCUAGGAAUCUGCCUGGUAGUGGGGGACAACGUUUCGAAAGGAACGCUAAUACCGCAUACGUCCUACGGGAGAAAGCAGGGGACCUUCGGGCCUUGCGCUAUCAGAUGAGCCUAGGUCGGAUUAGCUAGUUGGUGAGGUAAUGGCGCACCAAGGCGCCGAUCCGUAACUGGUCUGAGAGGAUGAUCAGUCACACUGGAACUGAGACACGGACCAGACUCCUACGGGAGGCAGCAGUGGGGAAUAUUGGACAAUGGGCGAAAGCCUGAUCCAGCCAUGCCGCGUGUGUGAAGAAGGUCUUCGGAUUGUAAAGCACUUUAAGUUGGGAGGAAGGGUUGUAGAUUAAUACUCUGCAAUUUUGACGUUACCGACAGAAUAAGCACCGGCUAACUCUGUGCCAGCCGCCGCGGUAAUAC